AUGGAUGAGUAUACAAUCUUCCAUCUCAACUUUGUGAGCAUAUUAGAGGAGGUAGCUGAACAUUUCCAUUUGGAGCCGCCGGUAGUGUCGACAGUGAAGCGUUUUGAGGGCGAUGGGUACCAAGGUGCAGUACAUUUGCAGCUCACCUCAGAUGAUGAUAAUUCUUAUAAGACCAUCUAUGGGUAUGGUGAAGAUGCUAAAGAUGCUGGCAACCUUGCUGCACGGGAAGCACUCAAGUUUCUUCAUUUUUCUGUUAACUUUGCUUUGGUGGACCUGCAUAUGUAUGAGUACUGGGAGGUACUACUAACUCUAGUGCAGAAGGAGCAGCAACACCACAUAGAGAUGACACAACUAAACCAGUUUCAUGAGGCUUGCCGGCAGCAUGAGUUAGAGUAUCUUGAGCAAGAACAUGAUGACUGUGUUUAUGAGAUCAAGCAUGACCUCAACCUCCAGAUAGAGGACAGGGAUCGUUGGCUUGAAAUAGAAGAACACAAGAGUAAGAAACUGAAGUUGGAGCGUGAUCAGUUGGAGGAGUUGACCAACAAGCAGGAGAGUAAAAUCAUGGAGCUAAUGAUAGAGAACAGAAGCCUCCGUGAGAAGCUGGCGGAAAAGCUACAGGCGCAUGAAUAG
rnacentral:rRNA from 1 species